UACGUAGGGUGCGAGCGUUGUCCGGAAUUAUUGGGCGUAAAGGGCUCGUAGGCGGUCUGUUGCGUCAGGAGUGAAAACUCGGGGCUUAACCCCGAGCCUGCUUCUGAUACGGGCAGACUAGAGGUAUGCAGGGGAGAACGGAAUUCCUGGUGUAGCGGUGAAAUGCGCAGAUAUCAGGAGGAACACCAAUAGCGAAGGCAGCUCGCUGGGACGGUACUGACGCUAAGGCGCGAAAGCGUGGGGAGCGAACAGG
rnacentral:rRNA from 1 species